CUUGCGAGAGGGGAAGUAUUGCCUCUUGGAGGCGCCUAGCGGAGGUGGUAUAUAUUUGUCCCAGGUCACUGGGUGGGGGCUCGAGCCAGUUUUGUAUUGUGUAUUGGAACGGAACCCCUUGAUACUGAACCCAGCCCUUGUUGCUGACAACUCUGAUGGGCAGAAGGGUUACAAAUUCCUCUGGAAGGUCAU